CUGUCUCUGCACAUGAUGCCUCACUGCCUCACUAACCAAGGAGCUUGCAUGGCAAGUCAGAGAAUGCAAGAACGAGGAAAGAAAAGGAAGGAAGGUUCAUUGAAUCUGCAUGUUGAACUGGACCACUGGAAUGAAACAGCUUGUCCUCCUCUUCCAAGCAAAAAUUCCUGCGUGGGGAGCUCAACAUCAACCUCUUCCAAAAGAGGAACUAGUAUAGCUCAGGGCCAGCAAACAAAUGCCUAGGCAGGAGUGUAAAAGGACCAGCAGGGACUGUUCAAUGGUAAAUGCUUUGAAACUCGACUGAGUAUCCCGAGAGAGGAAAAAGUAAAGUGCUUAUGGAAUGUCCAACACCCAAAUUAUUUUUCUUCUCUUGACCACCCUUUCUGUUGCCCAUGCUGCUGUGAUGUUGAUGUCCAUAAUAAAAUGAAGGAGACAGUGUUGAGUGCAUCAGUUUGUUUGUUUUUUUGUUUUGUUUAUUUAAUGUAUUUAUACUGUAAGUAUUCAUUCAUUUUCCUGGUAUUAACCAACCCAUCCUCUAGAGGGACUAGGAAUGAAAUAAGAUCUACAGCCACCUUCUUUUUGGAAUCUAGUGUGGAGUAUAAAAUGGCACCGUGAGGAAAGCAAAACAUGAAUGGUUUCAAAACCAUCUUCACAUUUCCAAACUCUGAAUGCAAGUGCUGACAGACCUCUGCAUCACUGAGAGCUGCUGCCAAAUGGCAACAAGUCAGGUGAUACAGAACCAGCCACUGCAAAUCCUAAGAGUCCAACAGUUAAACUGACACUGCCCCCUUUUUUAGCAUCAGACUGCUUUUUAAUGGGUGCUUGAAACAAGAAAUUAUGCUUUAUGAAGAGAUUGUCUUGAGGUGGUACUCAUCUCAAACCACCCAUCCAGAGAGUCGUACAAGCUAACAUGAAAUGGAUGGAGAAAAGUCUUAACCACCUUCAAAGGGGCAAGGUGGCAGUGGCGUCAUCUUUGCUUUCACAUUGGUUCUAUGAUUUUAUUUCUUCACUCAGAGGGUGGUGAGACACUGCAACAGGUUGCCCAGAGAAGCUGUAAAUGCCCAUCCCUGGAGGUGUUCAAGACCAGGUUAGACAAGGCCCUGAGCAACAUGGUCUAGUGGGUGGCAUCCCUGCCCACGGCAGGGAGGUUGGAACUACAUGAUCUUUGAGGUCCCUUCCAACACAAGCCAUUCUGUGACUCAGGACGAAUGGAGCACAAAAAGACUCCAUACGAUCAAAUUCAUCUUUGUCAAGGAAUUCCUUGCCUUCAGUAGAACUUCUGGAUUUAGGAGGCACAGAAUUUAGAAACAAC
rnacentral:lncRNA from 1 species